rnacentral:rRNA from 1 species
GAUGAACGCUGGCGGCGUGCUUAACACAUGCAAGUCGAACGUGAAGAAGCAGCAAUGUUUCUGAAAGUGGCGGACGGGUGAGUAACACGUGGGUGACCUGCCUUGCAGAGGGGGAUAACGAGGGGAAACCUUCGCUAAUACCGCAUAGGCUUACACUGAUGGGAAUGGUGUGGGUAAAACUGAGGUGCUGCAAGAGGGGCCUGCGUCCGAUUAGCUAGUUGGUGAGGUAAUGGCUCACCAAGGCGAUGAUCGGUAGCUGGUCUGAGAGGACGAUCAGCCACACGGGAACUGAGAAACGGUCCCGACUCCUACGGGGGGCAGCAGUGAGGAAUAUUGGGCAAUGGACGAAAGUCUGACCCAGCAACGCCGCGUGGAGGAUGAAGGUUUUUGGAUUGUAAAGCUCUUUCGGUGGGGAAGAAAUUGCACGGGCGAAUACCCUGUGUAGAUGACGGUACCUGGAGAAGAAGCACCGGCUAACUACGUGCCAGCAGCCGCGGU